rnacentral:rRNA from 1 species
CCUAAAGCAUCCGUAGCCGGCUCUGUAAGUUUUCGGUUAAAUCUGUACGCUUAACGUACAGGCCGCCGGAAAUACUGCAGAGCUAGGGAGUGGGAGAGGUAGACGGUACUCGGGAGGAAGUGGUAAAAUGCUUUGAUCUCUCGAUGACCACCUGUGGCGAAGGCGGUCUACCAGAACACGUCCGACGGUGAGGGACGAAAGCUGGGGGAGCAAACCGGAUUAGAUACCCGGGUAGUCCCAGCUGUAAACUAUGCAAACUCAGUGAUGCAUUGGCUUGUGGCCAAUGCAGUGUUGCAGGGAAGCCGUUAAGUUUGCCGCCUGGGAAGUACGUACGCAAGUAUGAAACUUAAAGGAAUUGGUGGGGGAGCACCACAAGGGGUGAAGCCUGCGUUCAAUUGGAGUCAACGCCAGAAAUCUUACCCGGAGAGACAGCAGAAUGAAGGUCAAGCUGAAGACUUUACCAGACAAGCUGAGAGGUGGUGCAUGGCCGCCGCCAGCUCGUGCCGUGAGAUGUCCUGUUAAGUCAGGUAACGAGCGAGAUCCCUGCCUCUAGUUGCCACCAUUACUAUUAGCGGGACCGCCACAGUUAAUGUGGAGGAGUAAGGGGCCACGACAGGUCAGUAUGCCCCGAAACUCUGGGGCCACACGCGGGCUGCAAUGGUAGUGACAAUGAGUUCCGAAACCGAAAGGUGGAGGUAAUCUUCAAACGCUAUCACAGUUAUGAUUGAGGGCUGCAACUCGCCCUCAUGAAUAUGGAAUCCCUAGUAACUGCGUGUCAUUACCGCGCGGUGAAUACGUCCCUGCUCCUU